rnacentral:rRNA from 1 species
GCCUGGGGCUGGCUGCUACCUGCAAGUCGACGCUGAAGCCCUGGUGCUUGCACCGGGGUGGAUGAGUGGCGAACGGGUGAGUAACACGUGAGUAACCUGCCCCCGACUUCGGGAUAAGCCCGGGAAACUGGGUCUAAUACCGGAUAUGACCGAGAGACGCAUCACUGAUGGUGGAAAGUUUUUUCGGUUGGGGAUGGGCUCGCGGCCUAUCAGUUUGUUGGUGAGGUAAUGGCUCACCAAGACGACGACGGGUAGCCGGCCUGAGAGGGCGACCGGCCACACUGGGACUGAGACACGGCCCAGACUCCUACGGGAGGCAGCAGUGGGGAAUAUUGCACAAUGGGGGAAACCCUGAUGCAGCGACGCAGCGUGCGGGAUGACGGCCUUCGGGUUGUAAACCGCUUUCAGCAGGGAAGAAGCCCUUCGGGGUGACGGUACCUGCAGAAGAAGUACCGGCUAACUACGUGCCAGCAGCCGCGGUAAUACGUAGGGUACAAGCGUUGUCCGGAAUUAUUGGGCGUAAAGAGCUCGUAGGUGGUUGGUCACGUCUGCUGUGGAAACGCAACGCUUAACGUUGCGCGUGCAGUGGGUACGGGCUGACUAGAAGUGCAGUAGGGGAGUCUGGAAUUCCUGGUGUAGCGGUGAAAUGCGCAGAUAUCAGGAGGAACACCGGGGGCGAAGGCGGGACUCUGGGCUGUAACUGACACUGAGGAGCGAAAGCAUGGGGAGCGAACAGGAUUAAAUACCCUGGUAGCCAUGCCGUAACGUUGGCACUAGGUGUGGGGGACUUCCACGUUCUCCGCGCGUAGCUACCGCAUAAGUGCCCCCCUGGGGAUACGGUCGCAGGCUAAACUCAAAGAAUGACGGGGCCCCCCCAAGCGCGGACCUGCGAUUAUUCGAUGCACCCGAAAACUUACCAGGUUGACUACCCAAACGUUCGAAACGUCCUCCC